AGUGAACGCUGGCGGUAGGCCUAACACAUGCAAGUCGAACGGCAGCACAGUAAGAGCUUGCUCUUACGGGUGGCGAGUGGCGGACGGGUGAGGAAUACAUCGGAAUCUACUUUUUCGUGGGGGAUAACGUAGGGAAACUUACGCUAAUACCGCAUACGACCUACGGGUGAAAGCAGGGGAUCCUCGGACCUUGCGCGAUUGAAUGAGCCGAUGUCGGAUUAGCUAGUUGGCGGGGUAAAGGCCCACCAAGGCGACGAUCCGUAGCUGGUCUGAGAGGAUGAUCAGCCACACUGGAACUGAGACACGGUCCAGACUCCUACGGGAGGCAGCAGUGGGGAAUAUUGGACAAUGGGCGCAAGCCUGAUCCAGCCAUACCGCGUGGGUGAAGAAGGCCUUCGGGCUGUAAAGCCCUUUUGUUGGGAAAGAAAAGCAGCAGGUUAAUACCCCGCUGUUCUGGCGGUACCCAAAGAAUAAGCACCGGCUAACUUCGUG
rnacentral:rRNA from 1 species